rnacentral:rRNA from 1 species
AUAACGACUCUCGGCAACGGAUAUCUCGGCUCUCGCAUUCGAUGAAGAACGUAGCGAACUGCGAUACUUGGUGUGAAUUGCAGAAUCCCGUGAACCAUCGAGUCUUUGAACGCAAGUUGCGCCCGAAACCUUUGUCGAGGGCACGUUUUCCCUGGUGUCACA